rnacentral:lncRNA from 1 species
GCUCCAGACGGAGCGCCUUAUCGAUCUGUUUAUUUGUGAGCUUGUGAGAUUUCUCCUAGUUUUCUUCGCGACAACUUUUUAUAACUGUUCUAAGAGUAGUAUAUUUUUCCAAGAAAUCUUAGAAUGAAGACUAUAAGAGCUCUUUGCGAGGCGCUAAUUUAGAAGUUUUUCCUUUGCUCAAGUGUGUCGGUUAGGCUUUGGAGCACUGACUUUGUACAACGAUUUUGCAGUAAACUCGAUUGUUUAAUUAUAUUUUUAACUUUCUGGUUAACAUCGAUUGCUGUAGCUGUAAUUACGUUUUAAACAAUAUUGGCAGUGAAUCGGAUCAUCAGUAGCAGUAUAUUGAGUAGCAGAGUGGGUCAGCAGGCGCAGCUCAAGGGUAUUCGCUCUCUUCUUUUUAUGUGAACAAAGAUGUCAGCUCCAAAAAAAAAAAAUAAAUAAAUAAACCAGCGAUUCUCAAACGGAAAGUGACAAAAGAAGGCGAUGAUCUCUAUGACAACGGACUUCUCAAAUUGAUUCAAAAAGAAAACCUGCAGGGUGUACAUGAGGCAUCGAAAAAAUUUUAAUUAUUUGAAAAACAAUCUGGUCGCCGAAUGCAAAAAAUAUUGGGAUAUCCAUUGAAAAAUAGUUUGGAAAAUAAAUUAGAAACCAAUGGACUACUUCUAUCUGCAAAUGUCAGCCCAGCGAACCGUUCUUUUUCUCGACAACAACAGUUAAAUCCAAAAUCAACUGAAACACUUGCCAACGGUUUACUAUCUGCAAAUGUCAACCCAGUACACCGUUCUUUUCCUGGACAACAACAAUAAACCUUUCAAUAUCAACGGCUUGCCAAUUUUUCAUGAAUUUGUAGAUUAAAGCAGUACUGUACCUGAUACAGAAGUCGCGUCAUUAGAACUAACAGCGAUUUCACCACAACUUCUUCAUUCAUCUACUGAUCUAAUGGAUACCGAUAUUGUAUUUUCACCACCCCGUGCAUUGAAGGACAAUGAAGAAUCAAUUUUAGUAAAAAAAUAAAGAUGUCCCUAUGGUUGAUAACUCAUACGAGCAAAAAGAAAUUGCAGAGCAAAAUGUAGAAGAGGGAGACGGAGAAGACGGCGAAUAUAGUGAAGACGGCGAAGACGACGAAGCUGGCGAAGAUGGCGAGAAAUCUGGAGAAGACGAAGAAGGCCGCCAAGAAGGCAGAUGAAAGCAAGAUGUGCAAGUACAAGAAGAAAUUGUACAGGUCUAAGAUAGACAGCAAGCUACUGUAGAAGCUAAUGACAUUCAUAGACGGGAAAUGCAUCAUGAUCGAAGACGGAGGGCUAUUGGAAACAAUGCGGAUAAAUUAUUACAACUGGAACAGCUGCAGCAUCGUGAAGACAUAUGUUGUUCUUCUUGCCGUACGCUUUUCCUGUAUAUGCUACAGGGUUACGAAGAAAUGCAAAUGAAACUUGACGAUUUGCUUCGAGUCGACCGACGUCCACGUGCUAAUAAUGUAGUGGAGGAACCAAUUUUUGAUACAUUGCAAAUGUUGCCAAUCAACGACAGGCAUUCUUUAUUAGAAUUUGAUCAGCAUUCGGCUGAUCCAGUCCAUCGGCAAAUGAGAUCCCAAUUUGCAAUGCAAAUAAUUAAUUUUUGUACAGCAUUUUUUGUACAUGCAUACAUGUCAAUUUAUAAUACACAUUUUAUGUUUUAGGAACAGAAAAUUAGUUCAUAUGAUGGAAACGAUUACAAGAAGUUAGUCCCUACCAUUCUGGCAGAUAUAAUGACGGAUGAUUUGGCAGAAAAUUGUACUUGGUUAAUCCUAAAAACCAACAAGAGCAAAAUAAGUCAUUAUAAUUUUCCAAAACUCAUAGCCAAUAAAAUUUAUUAAAAAGAAAUUCGACGUUGCUGUUCAAGAACGUGUACAAAAAUGGCUACAAAAACAGGGGACCGUAAGAGAGCUAAGGAACAGCAAGCCAGGAGACAAGCUGAAAUCGAGCGUCGAGAAAGGGAGUUACUGAAUGAAUAAGUAAAGCCGUACUAUAAUAGUCAUCGCGUGUGAAAAAACGUGGGCGCAAUGUCUAUGCUGUCGUAAAGUCACUAGCCGAAUUUGCCUGAUGCAAUGUAUUCCGAGAUCCUCUGUGAUAACAGUGGGCCAAUGUUACUUUCAUUAAGUUUGUAUUAUUAUUUUUUUAUUUUUUAUAAAAUGUAUUAUUUUUGUAAGGCGUUCCGUUUGGUAAAGAUUAAUUACAAACGUACUAAAUAAAACCAAUUGUUCAAUUUA